rnacentral:rRNA from 1 species
AGAGUUUGAUCAUGGCUCAGGAUGAACGCUGGCGGCGUGCUUAACACAUGCAAGUCGAACGGUAAGGUCCCCUUCGGGGGAUACACGAGUGGCGAACGGGUGAGUAUCACGUGGGCAACCUGCCCCUCACACUGGGAUAACCACGGGAAACUGUGGCUAAUACCGGAUACUCCGCAAGAAUCGCAUGGUUCUUUCGGGAAAGCUCCGGCGGUGAGGGAGGGGCCCGCGGCCCAUUAGCUUGUUGGUGAGGUAACGGCUCACCAAGGCUGCGAUGGGUAGCCGAGCUGAGAGGCUGAUCGGCCACACUGGGACUGAGACACGGCCCAGACUCCUACGGGAGGCAGCAGUGGGGAAUUUUGCACAAUGGGCGAAAGCCUGAUGCAGCAACGCCGCGUGCGGGAUGAAGGCUCUCGGGUCGUAAACCGCUUUCAGCAGGGACGAACGUGACGGUACCUGCAGAAGAAGCCCCGGCUAAAUACGUGCCAGCAGCCGCGGUAAUACGUAUGGGGCAAGCGUUAUCCGGAUUUAUUGGGCGUAAAGCGCGUGUAGGCGGCUUGCUAAGUCAGGUGUGAAAACUGGGGGCUCAACCCGCAGCGUGCAUCUGAAACUGGCAGGGCUUGAGUCUGGUAGAGGAAAGUGGAAUUCCUAGUGUAGCGGUGAAAUGCGCAGAUAUUAGGAGGAACACCAGUGGCGAAGGCGGCUUUCUGGGCCACGACUGACGCUGCGACGCGAAAGCUAGGGGAGCAAACAGGAUUAGAUACCCUGGUAGUCCUAGCUGUAAACGAUGGGCACUAGGUGUGGGGGGUCAUCGACUCCCUCCGUGCCGUAGCUAACGCAUUAAGUGCCCCGCCUGGGGAGUACGGCCGCAAGGCUAAAACUCAAAGGAAUUGACGG